UACGAAGGGGGCUAGCGUUGCUCGGAAUUACUGGGCGUAAAGGGCGCGUAGGCGGACAGUUUAGUCAGAGGUGAAAGCCCAGGGCUCAACCUUGGAAUUGCCUUUGAUACUGGCUGUCUUGAGUUCGGGAGAGGUGAGUGGAAUGCCGAGUGUAGAGGUGAAAUUCGUAGAUAUUCGGCGAAGACACCAGUGGCGAAGGCGG
rnacentral:rRNA from 1 species